rnacentral:tRNA from 1 species
CGGGAAAUGGCUCAGUCCGGUAGAGCACUCGGUUUGGGACCGAGAGGUCGCAGGUUCAAAUCCUGUUUUCCCGACCA